ensembl:ncRNA T23G5.10 ncRNA
UAGGAUAAUCAUUUCCUUUAUAUUUUUCUUUGGUUUUCUCUUUUAAAUUUGUAGAAAAAACUUACAAGUAAGUGGAGGGAACUAGCUGACGAGCAUCUUCUGCAACCAGAAGAUAGCAUCUACCGGGUGCCCUGA